AGGUCAAACAGACGGCUGCCAUGCUGACUGACGGAGCAUGGCGAUUGCGCCAUUACUGAGACUAUUUGAACAAACACCUUGGGAAAACACAGCGUUACCGCCAGGUUCUAUCCAAUGAAAUCAGCAAGAAGCAAAAGGUUGCAGAAGAGACAGAGAAGAAGUUUAACCGCUUCUCGAGCCGGCUAUCGACCAAUUGCGCAGCAUGGUUCCGUAUUGUUCUUCACCAUCACUGACUUGCCCAACAUCGAUCACCGGUGCCAGUACUCUUUGAAAGGGUUUGUCAAUUUGUUCAUCAACUCCAUCAGUGCCAGUCUGAAAUCGAGAAACCUAGGGCGACGAUUGCGCAACCUCACCGACCACUUAGCCUAUAACCUGCAUAGCAACAUCUGCCGAUCUCUGUUCGAGAAAAGACAAGCUACUGUUCUCGUUUGCACCCUGCUGUUGCUGCAACUUAC